ensembl:rRNA 5S_rRNA 5S ribosomal RNA
GUCUAAGGCCAUACCACCCUGAACGCAUCCGAUCUUGUCUGAUCUCGAAAGCUAAGCAGGGUUGGGCCUGGUUAGUACUUGGAUGGGAGGAAACAAUUCUACAGCAAGAGAUA